rnacentral:rRNA from 1 species
AGAGGUGAAAUUCUUGGACCGUCGCAAGACGAACUACUGCGAAAGCAUUUGCCAAGAAUGUUUUCAUUAAUCAAGAACGAAAGUUAGAGGCUCGAAGGCGAUCAGAUACCGCCCUAGUUCUAACCAUAAACGAUGCUGACUAGCGAUCCGCCGGCGUUAAUCCCAUGACUCGGCGGGCAGCUUCCCGGGAAACCAAAGUCUCUGAGUUCCGGGGGAAGUAUGGUUGCAAAGCUGAAACUUAAAGG